UACGAAGGGAGCAAGCGUUAAUCGGAAUUACUGGGCGUAAAGGGUGCGUAGGCGGUUCGUUAAGUCUGUCGUGAAAUCCCCGGGCUCAACCUGGGAAUGGCGAUGGAUACUGGCGAGCUAGAGUGUGUCAGAGGAUGGUGGAAUUCCCGGUGUAGCGGUGAAAUGCGUAGAGAUCGGGAGGAACAUCAGUGGCGAAGGCGGCCAUCUGGGACAACACUGACGCUGAAGCACGAAAGCGUGGGGAGCAAACAGG
rnacentral:rRNA from 1 species